rnacentral:rRNA from 1 species
CAUCCGUAGCUUGUUCUGUAGGUCCUCUGUUAAAUCCAACGGCUUAACCGUUGGCAGGCAGAGGAUACCGCAGGACUAGGAGGCGGGAGAGGUGGGCGGUACUCAACGUGUAGGGGUAAAAUCCUUUGAUCCGUUGAAGACCACCAGUGGCGAAGGCGGCCCACCAGAACGCGCUCGACAGUGAGGGAUGAAAGCUGGGGGAGCGAACCGGAUUAGAUACCCGGGUAGUCCCAGCCGUAAACGAUGCAAGCUAGAUGAUCCGGUCGCAAAUCGCGAUCGGAGUGUCGCAGGGAAGCCGUUAAGCUUGCCGCCUGGGGAGUACGGUCGCAAGACUGAAACUUAAAG